UCUGCAUGCGUGACUCAGAACAUAGUGUGUGAGUGACUAAUGCCCUGGUCUCAUCACCCAUGAUGCCACUUGCUGCGACACGCGAGCAUUCAGCACGACAAACAAAGCUGCUGCUGGCAGCUGUGGAGUGAAGAGAGACGAAGGAAGGAGGAGUGGAAAGAAAAGGAAAAAAGAUGGAGAGCUAAUCCAGAUCCAGGUCAUGGUGGCAGCAGACUAAGCAAGGUAGCCCAAACUUCCUUCUACGUAGGCACGUCCUUCACCUCAUCCUAAAACCAACGCAGAGCUCAUUGCACAGUGGUAAACACGAGAAGAGGAUGCCGGGCCGGCCCAACCAUGCAACGUAUGCGGGCAAUGCUGCAGGGAACAAGUGAAGCGACUGUGGAAAUUGGAUGGGCCCAGAAUACCUUCAUAUCGAGACGUCCAGGAGGCAUCAUCUCAAUUCCAAUCUCCACUUGGAUGUCUGCGGAACUACAUAAUCUGAAAAAAAGCAGGGAUGCAAUCUUGAGGCCACAUACCAGACACUCUCCAAACCUUAGACAUUCUGUCCAUGAAAAUAGAAUCGGUGACAAGGCACAACCCUGGCAAAGUCCAAAACCCACUGAAAAUGCACUUGACUUCCUGCCAAGAACGUGGAUACAGCUCUCACUCCAGUUGAACAAGGGCCCAAUGGCUUGAAACAGCCACAGCAACCCAUACUCUCUGGACUGCCUGCCUGCAGGUGGAAUGGAGAGAUGCUGAGAGAGAAAAUAAAUACAAGAAGAAGGAGGGGAACAGACAAGGGUCCAACUGCAGAGCUCAAUCCUGGGGACAGAAGUCAGGGGACUUUUUUUCCCAAAGAACGUAAUUAAAAAGGAUUUAACAACAUUCAGUUUUUCCACACAGGACUUUAAGUAGCGUUAUUGAAAUGCUGUUUGUCAAGUAACGGCCAAAGCCAAUGCCAAAACCCUAAAUUUGGUUUCUUGUUGUGUGUUAAGUGUAAAAAAAAAAAUAAAAAUACUCAACUGGUUGAUGUUAGAUGACGUGCAGGUGAUGUUAGCAUAUUGGUCGUAUUAAUGUUAGUCCAGGCCUAUGAAACCAUGUGGCAUAGAUUAUAUUAAUAAAUGUAUACCCUCUGGAAUAAAACU